UUACCGCCUUCAGGACAGGCUGGGACAUUCUGUUCUUCUUCUUUGAGCUGGUGGGACUGUCAAAAUCAAAGCCGCUGACCACUGCCCUUCUGUAGGACGUGGACCUCAAGCCUCGCCGAAGGGAGCCGGGACUGUCCAUGUCGUUGUCGACUUCGCUUUCCUCCCCUUCGUGGCCCAGGGGUGCUCCCAGUCCCUCCACCAUGCUGCGCACCUUGAGAAGCCUCCUAUGGGGCUCCACAUUCUGACUAUUGGAUUUACUCAGUUUAAUUUCAGAGGCAAGGCUUUUGGGGAUAAUCUGCUGCUUUCCCAUCUUGAGUGCCGCCGGGCUGUUGGUACUCAAAACCACGGAAGGGUUCGGGAGCUCAUUCCCUUGGGAGGGCAGCCUUUGGAGCGGUAGUUUUUGUUCUGAAGACUUGUGCGGGGUAGCAGGAGAAAGUCUCGAGGGGGCCAGCUCCAAGUCCCCAGCUGGACCAGUUUGUGAUACUGGGCCAGAUGAGUCGGUUUUAAGGGCAAGGCCAUUGGCAAUGGGCGAAGAUACCUUACUGGCAGUCACCCCGGUGCGGUCCUCAUCGGGGGCGCAAGGGGCCGGGAUGUCCGGAGUUCGGGAGGCGCGCGACAACAGCGCCGCGGGCGAGGCCACCGUGCCAUUAGCAGUGGACUUCGGGGAGCCGCCCGACGCCGCGUAAGAAACCAGGGGUGACUUGGGACGUCGGAGUCGAGGAGAAGCAGCUCUGUAGUCCGGGGACACCGUGCGACCAUUGGUGACCGGCCUCCGAUGCGCGCACAGAAGCUGGGGGCUCCUGGAUACCGUCCUGCCGUCCGGGUCGGCGGGUACGCGGACUGGAGUCUGCGGCGUGGGCAGAGCAGUCAGCUCCUCCACAGGGAAGUCGGUGAUCAGCAGCCCGCUGGGGCUCUGGUACGACUGUGGCCGCGGCUUGCUCCGGCCGAGCAACUGGAGCGGAGGGGUGGACCGUCUCCGCCACAAAGGGGUGACGCCGUUGCUGGAAAAAUCCACCUCGCUUUCGCCGUCCAUAGCGGGGCCUUUGAGUCAGCCCCGAGAGGGGGAAAGCUGCUCAGAUUGCCCAAGAGAAAGGAACUUUGCCUCCGGACAAGUAGUCUUGUCUUGGAGCCUAGCCGGGUUCCAGCCCGGCGGUCACACGGGUGUCGCGCGGGACUCGGCAGCGCCGCACUUACCCGCCCUUUCUCGGGCACAGCGCCUCCCGCCAAGCUCCGCGACGGAGGACUGAGAUCCGAGCCGCGGUCGAUCAGAUGAAUCCGGUCUCCUCUGCGUCCUUCCCGCGCCCCAAGCCCGCCGGCACCUAGAGAGCUCGCCGCCACCGCAGGACCCUUGGAAAGAGUUCAGCUGGCUGGGACAGCUCGCCGUGGGACGCUCCCCCGCGUCUCCAUCUAGCCGCCCGCCCCUCGCCAGUCCACCCGGCCCCCGGUAUGCGGUCUCCAGCACGCUCACCCUUCCGGAGCACAGACCAAGGAGUGCUCCCUGUCCCCGUGGGUGGCCUGGGUCCUCACUAAAGCGCAGCGACAACCGCUCAGCCCGGGGCAGCAGAGACCCGCGGCGCCGGCCCCGCCCCCGCGCUACGCCCCGCCCCUCUUGGCCCCGCCCCAGCACGCCGGGGAAGCUCGCUCCGAGGCGCCCUGGAGUUCCCGCCCCUGCCUUCCCCGUGUGCGCUCUAAGUAUUUGCAAAUCGGGCGCGCACACCUGAGCUGUGCGUCCAGACCCUGAGUACAGGAAUGUGCAGGAGCGCGGGCGACCGCCCUAGGGGCCAGCAGGAGGGCGCGGUCGCAGAUCGGAACACAGCAGGGGAAUGGUCCUGAGAGCAGAGAAAGGGGCUCUUGAUCAUCCCCAGCCCUAGAGGGGAAGGUUGGAAGGGUGAACCACGUCGGAGCUUGGUGCUGCUGAGCCACUUCACUGGGCCACUUGUGGGCGUCAAACUGAACCUCACUCGGGGUUCUCACUCAUCUACUAGCUAUAAUGUGGGGACUACAGACAGAUUUGCUUGUAUGCACUCAGAGGAGAACUGACUGAGAGGCCAGGUGGACCGUGUCCUAAUCUUUGGGCCCUAUAUGUUUGAAAGUCACACAGUAAAAGUAAACAAAAUACAAAAUAUUUAUUAGUGUGUAGUAUUUAUUAGUGUGUACAAUAUAAAUUGAAAAUCUGUAUGUAGAAUAAAAUAUUGUACAAGGAGUAAAUUCCAAAUCCUUAUUAGAGAUUAAGAGGCUGGACAGAGGUGGGUCUACCCCUACAGCCUAGUAUUUUUUCCGCUAGCUUUAUUUAGUCAAGCCAAGUCCACAGCCUUAGAGCCUUCAAGUUUAUUUCUUGGCCUUCUGGCUUGUCACUCCAUUGGAACUUGAGUUGAAAUUACCCCCGAUUUCCCCCAACCACCAGAUCUCUUUCUUUUUCACCCUAAUCGAAAUUUGUAAAUCUGAAUACUUGCUUAUAUGUCUAUGUAUUAAUGCUUAAUCUAUUCUGCCUUUGCAUUGAAAUUUUGAAGAGGGCAGGGGCCACGUUUGUGGCUCAUGCACACAGUAAGUGAUAAAUAUCUGUGGAGUAUGGGAGUAGAUGAGUAAGAGAAAUGAACCUGGGCCAGUGAUCAUUUGUCUUUUGGAUGUUGGUUGUCAAGUUGGCUAUGUCUUGGUGAAACUCCAGGUAUGUACGAAUAAUGAGGUGACCUGAGAAGACAGGAUUCUGGUUGAUGAGGUCUGUAGACUUGGUUCUGUUAGCAAGACACAGGGCAGGCUCCAAGCUUUCAACUUUCAUGUGAGCACCCACUGUUUAAUGACAUGCUUCUUUCUGCUUUGGGUGGCAAAAGGAAGGGUGGUAUUUACGGUGUUUCUUUCUGUUUUUCUAUACUUACCAAAGCAACACAGUGAAGGUCUUUGAUCUUAGAAACUUUUUUGAACUGGAAGAAAUGGAAUCAAAGUGUUUAUCGAAAUAAUUUUUAAGAAAAUUUACCAACAAUUUCAUACAGAAUGAAGCAGAUUCUAUGUUCAUCUAUGGAGCCUUGCUGUAGGGGAUAUUCAUAUCAAUAAUAUUAGUUUUAUAUAAUAAAUUUAACUUC
rnacentral:lncRNA from 1 species